UCUCUCUCCGUUCUCAUCCUCUAUUUCUCUCACCAUAUCACUCCAUCGUCUCUCUCCGUUCUCAUCCUCUAUUUCUCUCACCAUAUCACUCCAUCGUCUCUCUCCGUUCUCAUCCUCUAUUUCUCUCACCAUAUCACUCCAUCAUCUCUCUCCGUUCUCAUUUCUCUUCUUGCGCUCUACUCGUACUUCAUCAUCCAUCUCCCUCCUUUCUUCCUCUUCUAUCUCACUCUCUUCAAUCUUGCACUCCUUUCUUUCUCUCUUCUCUUUUUCAUUCUCUUUCUCUCACGCUUUCACUCUCUCUUUCGCUCUCAUUCUCUCAAUAUCUCGCUCUCUCAAUCUCUUACUCUCUCAUUCUCUCACUCACUAUCGCACUCUCUCCUUCUCUAACUCUCACUCUCUCUGUUCUCUAAUAACAGAUGAGGUGCCCGAGAAUCUUCCUUUCCCUGACGGUAAAGAGGUUGUCCCCACAGAGAAAGACGACUUGAGCUACGCUGUCACAGAGGAUUCUAUUACACCACCACCUACCUAUGAAAGCCCAUGGUACGAGGAGUAUGACUAUGGAUAUAGUGGUGGAGAGAAGAGAGCUCAGCAGAGGAGGGAGGAGGAAGAUAGGGAAAAAGUCAAGAAGAGACCACCCGUAUUCAAAGAGCCCAAAAGUAAGUCAACUACUACCAUCCAAUUACAAAAAUACCUUUAUCAUCUCCAUGUCAUCUUCAUAUUCACAAUUUUUGUAAUCUGACUAGUUUAAUACUUCAAUUUAUUUGAGAUAAUCGGUUUCCAGAAACCAUUAGCAUACCUUAUGAUGUUUUCCAGUGUGGUUAG
rnacentral:lncRNA from 13 species